rnacentral:rRNA from 1 species
GCCGGUGCUGAGGAUGAAGACGGGGACUCUCGCGCGCACUCCGAGGGUUGCCCUGGGAUCCUCCCUCCGCUCAAGCUGCCACCACCUCCAGAUCGGCUCCCCCCGAACUUCACACCGCCGGUGGUGACCGACGCAUCGCAGGCAUCUACGGAGAAGGGGUGGGUGGAGGUCGGGGGCCAGCAUCGCCGGAGGUUGGAGAGGCUAUCUGCCCCGCCCCGCAAGAAGGAGACCGACCGCGCCCUCGCUUUCAAGCGGAGAGCUUAUGGGCUCUGCUUCCGUUGCUUGGCAGAGGACCACUUCGUCGCCGACUGUCGUGGGCCUGUCACCUGCCUGGGCUGCGGCCGCUCUGGGCAUCGCGAGCGUGGCUGUCCGGACCACCUCCCUGCCAGCUAUGGUCAUCUCCGCAGCGCCCUGUUGCCGCCGGCUGCUCCUCACCUCCCCACACACCCGCCCCAAGCUCCUUCACUGCGGUUGCAGAAGCGUUCGUGGGCCUCUGUUGUUGCUGCUCCGACUGGGCUCGUCCAAGGGGUCCCUUGU